CCGGAAUAGCUCAGCUGGAAAAGCAAAGGACUGA
rnacentral:tRNA from 1 species